CCAUCAAGAAAAGAAAACAAAAAAAUAAAUAAAAAUAAAAAUCCUUUACAUAAAAAUCUGAAAUUUCGGAGCUUUGAUAACAUCUUUCGAUUGUGUGCUUGGGUUUGAGUUGCUUGGGAGCUUUUAUUUCACACCAAAGAGUUUGAGGCAGCUUGAGGCAGUAAGCUUGUAAAAGCUUGGUGCGUAAAGCUUUGGGGGGUCAGAGUGAGUAUACUCGCUUCUUUUUUUGUUCAUGUAUAUAUUUACGUGUAAUCUGGAAUGGUUUGUGAAAACAAGUACUUUGUGUUUAUUUUGUGAAGGUUUGAAAAGGAAAUUUUUGUUACUCUUGUAAAUUUUGUAAAUGAGGUUUACGUUGAUAGUUGUGCUUUUGUUUGAAAAGCGGUUAAAGCUAUUUUGUUGUAAUCUUUAAGCUACCACCUUUAAGCGAACUUCUUAAGGAAAAUGAAUCCUUUCUCUGGUAUUGUUUAUAAUAGAAGUUGUAAAUUA